UUACGGCCAGAUCACGUUGAAACACCUAUUCUUGUCUGAUCACCGAAGUUAAGCAACAUAGUGCCUGGUUAGUACCAAAAUGGGCAAACCCUUGGGCAUACCAAGAGCUGUAAG